rnacentral:lncRNA from 11 species
AUCUUGCUCUCCCUGUGGCUCAAGUCAGGGUACAACAUCAUUAAAACAAGAGAUGAAACACUCUUAAAACACAUAUAACAAGAUACACAGAGUUAAAAUACAAAUUCAAAUCCACGAAUGAAAGGCAGAUUAAAAUUUACACCUGACUUGAACUAUAAUUCCCACAAAACCUUACCAUUGGACAGGAGGUAAAGGUAACAUCUGGAGAGACAAAAGUGCCCCACCGUUGACAUCGGAAAAUCUGACAAAAUGGCUUAUUCCGAAUCCUCUGUUAAUCAAAGAAUGAAAUCGGAGCAACACCAAUCUACCUCAUAAAGUCUUGCACCUGCUUCCUUGCAUUUCCAACUGGGAGCCAAAGGCCGGUGUAUGUACACACAAGAGCAACAGCAGAUGUAAAGUACGAGGAGACCAUGCUAAACUUGGCAAUAAGAGGAAAAACAGAAAACCAUGCCUAUUUGCAUUUUGGUAAAGUGUUUGAUAUAUGAUUAAAUUAAACAAUAUUACUAUAUAUACUUGAGUAUAAGCCAACCCGAAUAUAAGCCAAAGCACCUAAUUUUACCACAAAAAAUUGGGAAAAAUUAUUGAUUCGAGUAUAAGCCGAGAGUGGGAAAUGCAGCAGCUACUGGUAAGAUUCAAAAAUAAAAAUAGAUACCAAUAAAAUUACAUUAAUUGAGGCAUCAGUAGGUUAAAUGUUUUUGAAUAUUUACAUAAAAGUGUAAUUUAAGACAACCCAACUCUGAUUAAAUCAUUAUUCUUACCUUCUUUAAUGUAAAUGUGCUUAUGUAUCCUUUUAAUAAUAACCAUACUUUAUUUUAACUAUACAUUUUGGGGCAAAUGCUAUGUGUAUAUGAAUAAGGAAAAGUGGAAAAG